UUUAUUCUUCUGUUUUUUAAGGAUUCUAAGUCUGAUGGAUUGACAACAGCUACAUCUGCAGAAUCAUUAGAACGUCAACUAGAAGAGAUCCAAGUAGAAAAUUUUAAUAUUAAGCAAAUGAAAGACUUAUUUGAGCAGAAAGCAGCACAGCUAGCCACUGAAAUUGUGGAUCUUAAAGCAAAAUAUGAUGAAGAAACCAGCCUUCGGGAAGGUGCAGAACAGAAAGUGGCAAACCU